ACUGAACGCUGGCGGCAGGCCUAACACAUGCAAGUCGAGCGGAUGAAGGGAGCUUGCUCCUGGAUUCAGCGGCGGACGGGUGAGUAAUGCCUAGGAAUCUGCCUGGUAGUGGGGGAUAACGUCCGGAAACGGGCGCUAAUACCGCAUACGUCCUGAGGGAGAAAGUGGGGGAUCUUCGGACCUCACGCUAUCAGAUGAGCCUAGGUCGGAUUAGCUAGUUGGUGGGGUAAAGGCCUACCAAGGCGACGAUCCGUAACUGGUCUGAGAGGAUGAUCAGUCACACUGGGACUGAGACACGGUCCAGACUCCUACGGGAGGCAGCAGUGGGGAAUAUUGGACAAUGGGCGAAAGCCUGAUCCAGCCAUGCCGCGUGUGUGAAGAAGGUCUUCGGAUUGUAAAGCACUUUAAGUUGGGAGGAAGGGCAGUAAGUUAAUACCUUGCUGUUUUGACGUUACCAACAGAAUAAGCACCGGCUAACUUCGUG
rnacentral:rRNA from 1 species